rnacentral:tRNA from 1 species
GCUCAAGUGGCGGAAUAGGUAGACGCAAAGGACUUAAAAUCCUUCGCAGGCGACUGCGUACCGGUUCGAGUCCGGUCUUGAGCA